rnacentral:lncRNA from 1 species
GUUAAAACAUCACAACACUUUUCCCUGAAAUCCCUAUAACUGGUCUUGCAUAAUUUACCAAACCUCCUCAACUAAUAUAAUUUUAAAGAGAUCAAAGAACAUUAUAUAAAAUAUUCUUUUAUAUGUACAAUGUACAUAAAACAAAACUUUGGUUGUUUCAAAAAAUUAUAAUAAUUGACAUUGUGAUAUUAGCUGCAUAGAUAGAAAUCUACCUUAUGUAAAUGAAUAUCAAUUAAUUCGAGUUCAACAAAUCUUUACAAAAAGUCUGUUUUAACUUUGUUAUUAUAAGAACCCUACAAAACACCAUAAUUCAAUUUCUGUUUCGUAUUUAAAUGUUUUAAAAUCCACCAAAGUCUUGUAUAUGUACAUGUAUACAUGCACUUGCAUAAGGUUUGAAUACUAGGCCUUCUUUUACUUUAAGGGUCCCUUUACUUUAGAGUUUAGGUUCAUUAAUGGUUAUGGUUAGGUUAGGGGAUGUUUUAGGUUAGGGUCAGGUUUAAGGAUUAGGGCUAGUGUUAGGUUUAGGUAUGGGUUAGGGUAAGGUUUGGGGUUAAGAAUAGUUUAGUAUAGCUAUUUAUGGGUUGGGACCUCUAAAGUAAUAGAAGGCCGAAUACUAUAUGACGCAGCUCGUAUAUCAAAUAUUCCUCACAGAUAUGUGUCAAUAGUUUUAUCCCUGAUAUUUUCACAUUACAAAGGUUAAUAAGCAUAACAUUUGUAUUCUAACAUUCUAACAGAUACAUGUACAUUGCAUGGACUUCAGUAUCGGUCACUAUCAAUUUUUUACUGUAAUUAUUUUAUAUAAAAUCACAUUUAAUUUUUUUUUUAAUUAUGGAGUCAUUUCUUGACAUAUUGUUAUAAAUUUGGUACCAAAACCUAUCGAUUUGUCAUAGGUUAUAUUGUCUAUUUGGUUUAAAUUAUGGCUAUGAAGUUAUGUCUUUUGCUGAAGAUUUAAUCAACAGUUUUAUUAUUUAAUAAUUUAAUUUUGGAUGUAACGCCUCUUGUGAUUGGCCGACGUUAUAUUGUUAUCAGACCAUAGACAUAAUUUAAUCAUGUG